rnacentral:rRNA from 1 species
AGAGUUUGAUCCUGGCUCAGAAUCAACGCUGGCGGCGUGCCUAACACAUGCAAGUCGCGCGCGAAAGGGGGGCAACCCCCAAGUAGAGCGGCGAACGGGUGAGUAACACGUGGGUGAUCUUCCUUCGAGUGGGGAAUAACACCGGGAAACUGGUGCUGAUACCGCAUGACAUCCUUGGUUCAUUCCAGGGAUCAAAGCCGGGGACCGCAAGGCCUGGCGCUUGAAGAUGAGCCCGCGUCCGAUUAGCUAGUUGGCGGGGUAACGGCCCACCAAGGCUUCGAUCGGUAGCCGGCCUGAGAGGGCGGACGGCCACACUGGGACUGAGACACGGCCCAGACUCCUACGGGAGGCAGCAGUGGGGAAUUUUUCGCAAUGGGGGAAACCCUGACGAAGCAACGCCGCGUGGAGGAUGAAGGCCUUCGGGUCGUAAACUCCUGUCGACCGGGAAGAAUGCACCUGACCUAAUACGUCGGCGUGUUGACUGUACCGGUGGAGAGCC